rnacentral:rRNA from 1 species
CAGCAGCCGCGGGAAUACGUAGGUGGCAAGCGUUGUCCGGAAUUAUUGGGCGUAAAGGGCUCGCAGGCGGUUUCUUAAGUCUGAUGUGAAAGCCCCCGGCUCAACCGGGGAGGGUCAUUGGAAACUGGGAAACUUGAGUGCAGAAGAGGAGAAUGGAAUUCCACGUGUAGCGGUGAAAUGCGUAGAGAUGUGGAGGAACACCAGUGGCGAAGGCGACUCUCUGGUCUGUAACUGACGCUGAGGAGCGAAAGCGUGGGGAGCGAACAGGAUUAGAUACCCCAGUAGUCCCUGUCUCUUAUAC